UACGCCCACAUCUCGUUGAAACAUUGGUUCCCGUGCGAUCACUGAAGUUAAGCAACGUCGAACCUGAUCAGUAACUAGACGGGUGACCGGGAAUAUCAGGUGCUGUAAU